rnacentral:rRNA from 1 species
CGUGGAUAAUCUACCCAGUAAUCCGGGAUAACAUCUUGAAAGAGAUGCUAAUACCUGAUAAGCCCACGAUCUCUUCGGAGAACGAGGGAAAAGGUGGGGACCUUCGGGCCUGCCGUUGCUGGAUGAGUCCGCGGCCCAUUAGCUAGUUGGUAGGGUAAUGGCCUACCAAGGCUACGAUGGGUAGCUGGUCUGAGAGGAUGAUCAGCCACACUGGAACUGAGACACGGUCCAG